AAGCACUGAAGUAUGGAGAGCAGUAAAGUCUUCUUUAAUGUGGAGAGUUCGUCACAUGACUCACAUCUACUGAUGACCACCACAGACCCGCCAUCACCCCACUGCAACACAAAUCACUAAAAACAGACUGAGUCAAUGAGAGGUCAGGUCUUUCUGAAGUUACGCCGCACCGGUGCCAGAUAAGUAUAUAGAUUCCUAUUUUACUGGAGGGGGAGAAAAACUAAAAA